GUAGGUGAACCUGCGGAAGGAUCAUUACAGAGAAAUUGCCCUUCGGGGUAGAUCUCCCACCCUUUGUUUACAUUUACCUUUGUUGCUUUGGCAGGCCCGUCUUAGGACCACCGGCUUAGGCUGGUCUGUGCCUGCCAGAGACCCCAAAACUCUUAUUUUUAUGUCGUCUGAGUAAAAUACAAAUAAGUUAAAACUUUCAACAACGGAUCUCUUGGUUCUG
rnacentral:misc_RNA from 1 species